rnacentral:rRNA from 1 species
GGAAGUACCCAAGAGUGGGGAUAACGUAGCGAAAGUUACGCUAAUACCGCAUACGAUCUCAGGAUGAAAGCAGGGGACCUUCGGGCCUUGUGCUCCUGGAGCGGCCGAUAUCUGAUUAGCUAGUUGGUGAGGUAAAGGCUCACCAAGGCAACGAUCAGUAGCCGGUCUGAGAGGACGACCAGCCACACUGGAACUGAGACACGGUCCAGACUCCUACGGGAGGCAGCAGUGGGGAAUUUUGGACAAUGGGGGCAACCCUGAUCCAGCAAUGCCGCGUGAGUGAAGAAGGCCUUCGGGUUGUAAAGCUCUUUUGUCAGGGAAGAAAAGGGUCUGGCUAAUAUCCAGGCCUGCUGACGGUACCUGAAGAAUAAGCACCGG